GAUGAACGCUGGCGGCGUGCCUAACACAUGCAAGUCGAGCGGACGGACGAGAAUCUUGCUGCUCUGGGGUUAGCGACGGGCGGGUAAGUGACACGUGGAUGACCUACCUAUAAGGCUACGAUAACUUCUAGAAACCGGAGCUAGUAGCGAAUGAUAUAUUCAGCCGCAUGGGUGACAAGUGAAAGACGGUCUUGCUGUCACGUAUAGAGGGAUCCGCGCUGCUCUAGCUAGUUGGUAAGGGAACGGGUUACCAAGGCAACGAGGCAUAGCCAACCGCAGAGAGUGACAGGACACACUGGGAGUGGGACACGGUCCAGACUCGUACGGGAGGAAGCAGUAGGGACUCUUGCGAAACGGGAGAAAGCAUGACGGAGCAACGCCGCGUGAGCGAAGAAGGUCUUGCGAUCGUAAAACUGUGUUAUUAGGGAAGAACAUAUGUGUAAGUAACUGUGCACACAAUGACGGUACCUAAUCAGAAAGCAACGGCUAACUACGUG
rnacentral:rRNA from 1 species